ACAAACGCUGGCGGCAUGCCUCAUACAUGCAAGUCGAACGCCCCGCAAGGGGAGUGGCGCACGGGUGAGUAACGCGUAGGAAUCUGCCUUGGAGUGGGGGAUAACCUGGGGAAACUCGGGCUAAUACCACAUAUUGCCGAGAGGUGAAAGAUUUAUUGCUCCAAGAUGAGCCUGCGUAUGAUUAGCUAGUUGGUAGGGUAAUGGCUUACCAAGGCGAUGAUCAUUAGCUGGUCUGAGAGGAUGGCCAGCCACAAUGGAACUGAGACACGGUCCAUACUUCUACGGAAGGCAGCAGUAGGGAAUUUUGCGCAAUGGGCGAAAGCCUGACGCAGCAAUGCCGCGUGUAGGAAGAAGCACUUUGGUGUGUAAACUAUUGUCGGCGGGGAAAAAGAAAGUGAUUGUACCCGCAAAGGAAGCAUCGGCUAACUACGU
rnacentral:rRNA from 1 species